GCUUGCUUUGGCAACACAUAUACUGAAAUUGGAACAAUACAGAGAAGAUUAGCACAGCCCCUGAGCAACGAUGACAGGCAAAUUCAUGAAGUGUUCCAUAUUUUU